UACGUAGGGUGCAAGCGUUAAUCGGAAUUACUGGGCGUAAAGCGUGCGCAGGCGGUUUUGUAAGUCUGUCGUGAAAUCCCCGGGCUCAACCUGGGAAUUGCGAUGGAGACUGCAAGGCUAGAAUCUGGCAGAGGGGGGUAGAAUUCCACGUGUAGCAGUGAAAUGCGUAGAGAUCCGGAGGAAUACCAGAGGCGAAGGCGGCACCCUGGGUCUGACCUGACACUGAUCCGCGACAGCAUGGGGAGCGAACGGG
rnacentral:rRNA from 1 species